GGAGGGCGGGGCCUCCCCCGGGCUCGGCCGCACCGCCGCCUCCUCCGCCUCCACCUCCUCACCAGCGCUAAAGCCGGGACUGGACCGAGCGGAGUUGUGCGUGUCGCCGAAGGGGGGUGGGCCGGGGGAGGGGAGGUUCGUUCCGCGGAGCCGCAGCCAGAACCGGGACCAAGAAUCGCCUUCAGCCCUGUCUGGUGCAUCCUUGGCAGAAAGUGAGGAGGAAAACACCCCCAUUGUUCUUUGGCAUGGACACAAGUUCAGUGGGAGGAUUAGAAUUGACUGAUCAGACUCCUGUUUUAUUAGGGAGUACGGCCAUGGCAACUAGUCUCACGAAUGUAGGAAACUCAUUUAGUGGUCCAGCUAAUCCUUUAGUGUCUAGAUCUAAUAAGUUUCAGAACUCGUCAGUGGAAGAUGAUGAUGAUGUUGUUUUUAUCGAACCUGUACAACCUCCCCCACCUUCUGUACCAGUGGUAGCUGAUCAAAGAACCAUAACAUUUACAUCAUCAAAAAAUGAAGAACUACAAGGAAAUGAUUCCAAAAUUACUCCUUCCUCAAAAGAGUUGGCAUCUCAGAAGGGAAGUGUAAGUGAGACAAUUGUCAUUGAUGAUGAAGAGGACAUGGAAACAAAUCAAGGGCAAGAGAAAAAUUCCUCCAAUUUUAUUGAACGAAGACCUCCUGAGACUAAAAACAGAACCAAUGAUGUGGAUUUCUCCACUUCCAGUUUUUCAAGAAGUAAGACCAAGACUGGAGUAGGACCUUUUAAUCCUGGUAGAAUGAAUGUGGCAGGAGACGUUUUUCAGAAUGGAGAAUCUGCAACUCAUCAUAAUCCUGAUUCUUGGAUCUCCCAGUCAGCUUCAUUUCCCCGUAAUCAGAAACAACCAGGGGUGGACUCUUUAUCACCAGUGGCCUCACUUCCUAAACAGAUUUUCCAGCCUUCUGCCCAACAGCAGCCUACUAAACCAGUUAAAGUCACUUGUGCAAACUGCAAAAAACCUUUACAGAAGGGCCAGACAGCUUAUCAACGAAAAGGAUCAGCUCACCUCUUUUGUUCUACCACCUGCCUUUCUUCCUUCUCCCACAAGCCUGCUCCAAAGAAACUCUGUGUUAUGUGUAAAAAAGAUAUAACUACAAUGAAAGGAACCAUUGUUGCUCAAGUGGAUUCAAGUGAGUCCUUCCAGGAAUUCUGUAGUACAUCUUGUUUAUCUCUCUAUGAAGACAAACAGAAUCCUACUAAAGGAGCUCUAAAUAAAUCAAGAUGUACAAUCUGUGGUAAACUAACUGAGAUUCGCCAUGAAGUCAGCUUUAAAAAUAUGACUCAUAAGCUGUGCAGUGACCACUGCUUUAAUAGAUAUAGAAUGGCCAAUGGUUUAAUAAUGAAUUGCUGUGAACAGUGUGGAGAGUACUUGCCCAGUAAAGGUGCUGGAAAUAAUGUUCUGGUGAUUGAUGGUCAACAGAAAAGAUUUUGCUGUCAAAGUUGUGUCAGUGAAUACAAACAGGUAGGUAGCCAUCCAAGCUUCCUGAAGGAGGUUCGAGAUCACAUGCAGGACUCUUUCUUAAUGCAGCCUGAGGUAAGAAGGAAUGUAAAUGGAGUUCAAGGCCUUAACAUUUUCGAGCACUGCUACUACUGUCAUUAAUAUGUAUCUGAAAAAUCUUGUCCAAUUUGAAAUAUAUUAAAAUUUCCAAACUUAAAUUGUAUCAAAUGAUGAAUGUUUUCUUUAUCUCCAAGGCAUAGAUUUCUAAUUUCACUAAUUUUACGUGUAUUUUCUUGUGAUACGCUCAUUUGUCUUUAGAUAUUUAUGUUCUUAGGAAAUUAUUUUCAGAUUUUUUUUAGUGCACAAUACCUUGUACACAGUAGGCAUUUAAUAAAGGGAUAUAAAAAUCCUCUCUUUUGUAUCUACCUGAAAAGUUAAAAAAGAAAC
rnacentral:sRNA from 1 species